GAAAAAUUUAUUUCAUACUAAUGAAAAUUUGUGAGCAAAACUCAGGAACAUGACAACCACAAUAACCCGAACAGUCGGACAAACUAUGCACAAUGACCGCUGAUUAGUUUAAUGUUUUAUUCCAUCUAUACCACGCUAAAAUUACAUAUAUUGCAGAGACAGCAAAUGAAAGAUACCGAGUACAGAUUUUUAAGUUUUCGCAUAAGCGAGGCAUUGCAAGAAAAGCACGACCAGCCACAAAUAUAUCCAAGAAAGGACAUGCAUACCAGACCAUAUAAAUAGUAACACGUUUCGAUAGCUUCAGACACAAUUUCGAACUGUGGAUGCUCGAGUAGGCAGAUUUCAAGCUGCAGCGUUAACGGCCUGAUUACCAGCUUCCUUCUCCACAAAACAUUUGAGAUACUCCUUCCUGGCGGGAAGAUGAUCAUUGGGACGGUUGUGAGGAGUCCAGACAGGAUCACCAACAAAGAGUCGCAUGGCCUUGAUGUAAUUGUCAGAAUCCAGAGUAAAGCGAUGAUAAAUUCCAGCAGGCAAGACAAUCAUUGCUCCCUUCUUUACCCAAAUACGGAUCCAUUUGUCAUUCAGAUCUCUAACAUCAAAAUAACCACUCCCAGCCACACAAUAACGGAUCUCCUCAUCAGUGUGAAGGUGUUCCUCAUAAAAGCUUUUAAUCUUCUCUUCAUAGUUAGGAAGCUUUUCUGGACAGACCUCACAGAAGUCCAUGUAGGAGUAAUUACGAUCACGACGUAUCUUCUUCAAUUCCUCAUCUGUUUCAUAAAUGUCUGCAUCUAGUCUCCAGCUCAGAACUCCAAGUUCGUCAAGUUGUUGGAGGGACAAAUAUUGCUUCGGUUCAAGGUGAUGAGGAAGCCUCUGGUCUUCAUCACUAUCAUCCAUAUACCAUGCCUGAAUCACUUCCUCUCUUGGAUCCUUGUCGGGAACAGCCAUCGUCAACUGCAACCUUCGGCUUCUGCUUCAGAAUAAAAAUCCCAAUCAAAUUCGAAUGCUGCAAGACAACGCGUGGAUAGGCGAAAAUGAAGGAA
rnacentral:misc_RNA from 1 species